rnacentral:lncRNA from 1 species
AACUUCUGUGCGUCAAUAUCAUUCAAUUGCUUAUGGAGCUCAGUAUGCAAGGCUUCCUCUUGCAUUUUCAGUUUUUCAAGCUCUCCACAAGAUCGCUGAAGUUCUUCCCGCAAUAAUUGACUGGCCUGGAAAAGGUGUGCUUUUUCUGUGCUCAAUUGGUUAUUGUCACCACACAACUUUAGGAUCUUUAUUUCUUGGUCCUUCACAACUUCUUUGCUCCCAAUUGGUUCUCUGCUCAAGUUCUUCAAAAUUUGAUGCAACACCGAUUUCUCAGUUUCAGUAAGAUAAAGCUUCUGUUCCAUUCCUUGAAGCUCAAUGUUUUUCUCAAACAACAGAUUUUUUAGUUUUUCAAGCUCUCCACGAAAUUGCUGAAGUCCUUCCCGCAAUAAUUGACUGGCCUCGGAAAGGUGUGCUUUUUCUGUGCUCAAUUGGUUAUUGUCAGCACACAACUUUAGGAUCUUUAUUUCUUGGUCCUCCACAAUUCUUUUACUCCCAAUUAGUUUUCUGCUCAAGUUCUCCAAAAUUUGAUGCGACACAGAUUUCUC